rnacentral:rRNA from 1 species
UACGUAGGUGGCAAGCGUUGUUCGGAAUUAUUGGGCGUAAAGCGCGCGACGAGCGGCCUCUUAAGUCUGAUGUGAAAGCCCCCGGCUCAACCCGGGGAGGGCCAUUGGAAACUGGGAGGCUUGAGUAUAGGAGAGAAGAGUGGAAUUCCACGUGUAGCGGUGAAAUGCGUAGAGAUGUGGAGGAACACCAGUGGCGAAGGCGACUCUUUGGCCUAUAACUG